rnacentral:rRNA from 1 species
CAGCAGCCGCGGUAAUACCAGCUCCAAUAGCGUAUAUUAAAGUUGUUGCGGUUAAAAAGCUCGUAGUUGAAUCUGUGUCGCACACCGUCGGUUCACCGCUCGCGGUGUUUAACUGGCGUGAUGUGGGACGUCCUACCGGUGGGCUUAGCCUCGCGAGGGGCGGCCCAACUAAUAUCCCGUCGCGGUGCUCUUUACUGAGUGUCGAGUCGGGCCGGUACGUUUACUUUGAACAAAUUAGAGUGCUUAAAGCAGGCUAUCCUCGCCUGAAUACUGCGUGCAUGGAAUAAUGGAAUAGGACCUCGGUUCUAUUUUGUUGGUUUUCGGAACCCCGAGGUAAUGAUUAAUAGGGAGAGAUGGGGGCAUUCGUAUUGCGACGUUAGAGGUGAAAUUCUUGGAUCGUCGCAAGACGGACAGAAGCGAAAGCAUUUGCCAAAAAUGUUUUCAUUAAUCAAGAACGAAAGUUAGAGGUUCGAAGGCGAUCAGAUACCGCCCUAGUUCUAACCAUAAACGAUGCCAGCUAGCGAUCCGCCGAAGUUCCUCCGAUGACUCGGCGGGCAGCUUCCGGGAAACCAAAGCUUUUGGGUUCCGGGGGAAGUAUGGUUGCAAAGCUGAAACUUAAAGGAAUUGACGGAAGGGCACCACCAGGAGUGGAGCCUGCGGCUUAAUUUGACUCAACACGGGAAACCUCACCAGGCCCAGACACCGGAAGGAUUGACAGAUUGAUAGCUCUUCCUUGAUUCGGUGGGUGGUGGUGCAUGGCCGUUCUUAGUUGGUGGAGCGAUUUGUGUGGUUAAUUCCGAUAACGAACGAGACUCUAGCCUGCUAAAUAGGCGUACCUUAUGGUAUCUCGAAGGCCCCCGGCUUCGGCCGGCGGGUUUUUACUACCAACGUACAAACAAAUCUUCUUAGAGGGACAGCGGCUUCUAGCCGCACGAGAUUGAGCAAUAACAGGUCUGUGAUGCCCUUAGAUGUUCUGGGCCGCACGCGCGUUACACUGAAGGAAUCAGCGUGUGUUCCCUGGCCGAAAGGCCCGGGUAACCCGCUGAACCUCCUUCGUGCUAGGGAUUGGGGCUUGCAAUUGUUCCCCAUGAACGAAGAAUUCCCAGUAAGCGCGAGUCAUAAGCUCGCGUUGAUUACGUCCCUGCCCUUUGCACACACCGCCCGU